UUAUUGCAGUGUUAGGAGGAGAGAAAGAGGGAGAGAAAACAACAAUACUGCAAUGAUCCAAAUGAUACAGUAGAAUUAUAGCAAUUAUAGUUCUACUUGUGGAAGAAAACCUUGCUGAGAUCAAGCAAACAAACUGAAGCCUUGUGAGGAUAACAAGCCUCACGAUUGACAGCCGGUGCUGGGAAGAGCCGGAGGGCACAAACAGAAAUAUUUGCCUCCCCAACCCCCCUUAACUCCAACCAGUAAAGGUUAACCUUCUCAAAAGCUGCUUUCACAGUCUUAUCCACUUCUGACUAUGCAUUUUAUGCACAAAUCGAGGUUUUUCCUCCUGGAAGUCUGGUAAUAGGAGGAAAUGUGACAUAAUCUGCUUGCCUAGAACUUGCCCUCACCUUCUCUGUCCCCCCACCACGCACACCAGUUUACCCUUCACUUCCUACCCUUGCUUCAGUUCUCCCCAGGCUGCUGAGCUCCCUCUGUGGAUCCGGUUUGUUGAUGUGAUUUCAAAGGAGCAGCCCUAGAGAAGUCCAAAGGGCUCAGCCGGGAGAGCUUUUUUCCCGCCCCUGUUUUGGAAGCGGCUCGUGGAUCUCGACCGAGCCCUCAAGGUUUCCAAAUCCCAGAGGGAAACUUCUCAGCCCCCUAAUCGCCGCCAUCUGCUUUCUUCUUUCCAUCGCCAACCGGACCUCAGGACCCCGGGUGUGCGUCCAGGGUGGAGGGGUCCCCAGCAGAGAGGUAGGAGGGCAUGGGGUGGAGCGCCAGAGGAGGACUCAACUCAAGCGUCUGUCCUGAGGCCUGAGGGACCCCCAGCUGUCCGGGUCCCGCCACUCAGCACCCCUCACCCACCAGCAAGCAGCACCCUGGUCGGGCUCCGCUCAGAGCCACAGCCAGAGUGCGCCCCCUAGCGGGGCCUUCGGGUGGGCCGAGCCCUUCAGGUUCAGCCUCUAGGAACUGAAGUUGGCAGAUCCAAGUGAUCCUGCAGGCAUGAAUGGAAGAAAGAAAACAAAAGCCUUGCGAACAUUUCCAAGUGUUCAAUAAAAGACCCAUCUGUACCUUUUUUCUUCAGUGUGUUCGUGCUUAAUGUCCCCCCGUGAGUGCGAGAGGGGAGAUAAUUCAUGGAUGGAUUCUUG
rnacentral:lncRNA from 1 species